UUAUUCAUGUUAUUAUUGUCCGUUAUGUCUAUGUAUAGUUUAAAUUCAUUUAUUUUACAGUAAUCCUGUCAUUACAACAAAUUAUGAUGUUAACGUGUUAAAUAUUGGAAAUUCCUUUUUUUCUAUACGUCAAGAGGAAUCAUUUCUAUUGGGUUUACCAUCGCUUGAAAACUAUAUAACACUAGGUAUCCGUCUUCUUAGUGACGAAAACCUUUACAGUGAACUAGUUGAUAAAUUCGAACAUAACAAUAAUGAGUAACAAUAGACCAAGGAUACCAGUUUCCGAAACAUUGCAAGGAUUAAAAGUUAAACUCUUGGAAGGAAACGAUUAUGCGGACACACUACGGGAUAAAUUUGGAAGAGAGAAGAUACAGAGUGAUCGAAUGAUCUCCCACAUUCAGUACAAUGUCAGGAGUGAGAUUAAGAUCAAGCGAUUUACAAGGGAAACUGCCGGUCAUUCAAUUCACAGGCUUGGACAUCUGUACAAGAAAUCGAGGAAACAUAUAUCAAAAGUACAAAAAUACCUCGCACACGUUCAUAAAAAUGAAACCCGUUUUUUGGACGACCAGACAGAUUUUAAUGAACUACAGUUAAAGGUAGAAUCGAUUCUGCAAGAACUUGAUUGCGCAAUUCUUGAACUAAGACAAUCUGAGGAUGAUACCGAUGACGAAAAUGAUGAGAUGAACUCAGAUGAUGAAACUUCCGGAAUCAACGGCGGAAGUGCAGGGGCAUAUGUUAACGAUAGUGAAUUGAUACGUCCUCAUAGUCAUAACCAUGACCGAUAUAAAAAAUUGAAAACAGAUUUCAAAUUUCUCUGUAAAGCUUCUUUCAUAUUAGAAAUCGAAAGUAAUAAUUACAAAAUGCUAAGACAGGUUUGUGUAUGAUAAAUAUGUGAGGAUUUGUUCAGACCAAAUGGAAAUAUAUACAGAUAAAAGUGAUAUUGCAAUUGUUGCUAAAUAUGUAACCUUUACAGAAGAAAUAUGCAUAAUCUACAUGCAAAUAUGUUUGGUUACGGUUAUUUUCCCUGAAAAAUUUGAUCGUAAAGAGAAUUAAUAUACUUCCACUGUAAAUACGGAAUGAUCUGGUGCAUAAAUAGUGUGACCACUACUGAAUCACUUUUGUGAUUUACCAUUGUUAAUAGAAGAAUAUUCAAUUGUAUUUUACUAGUGUUGAAAUUCUCUCAGACAAAAUUAGUUGUAGACAAUUUAGACUAUACAGUGUAUGUAUUGUUGAUGUUAUUUUAGUAAAAUUUUGUCUUUUA